GCCGGAGUGGUGAAAUUGGUAGACACAGCACACUCAAAAUGUGCCGCCUUCGGGCAUGCCGGUUCGAGUCCGGCCUCCGGCACCA
rnacentral:tRNA from 2 species